CACCGGUCAAUUUUUGUGAUGCUCAAAAUAAUUUUAUCGAGCCACUACAACCUUUUCGGACUUGUGCCGCCAUGGACCAAUUUUUAUCAUGCUCUAAAUAAUUCUUUCUAGCCCCUAAUAUUUUUUCGGAUUCAUGCCCCUACCGGCCAAAUUUUGUCGUGCUCAAAAUAAAUUUUUCAGACACAUGCAUGCUCAGGACAUUUUUUCGAGCUUCUGAAAAAUCUUCAGAUUCGCCACCGGCAAAUUUCUAUUGUGCUCAGGAUAUUUUUUCAAACCCCUAAAUUUUUCGGAGUCAUAUCACCAAGCGAUUGCUGAAUCAGAAGUCUAUUGUGCUCAGAAUAUUUUUUCAAACCCCUAAAUUUUUCGGAGUCAUAUCACCGAGCGAUUGCUGAAUCACGUUUUACGGAGAUGCAGAUAAACGAGUCGUGGAAAUUAUAUCACCAAGCGAUUGCUGAAUCAGAAGAAGAGGUUUAACAGAGAUGCAGAAGAAGAGGUUUAACAGAGAUGCUGAUAAAGGAGUUGUGGAAAUUAUAAGGAGUCGUGGAAAUUACAAUUGCUUGGUCAGGCACUUGCAUCGUCGUCACCGUUUCGAGAGCAAAAAUCCACCGAUUUUGUUUUUGUAUAAAGAGGGUGAGAUCCACAAUUUUGCGCUAGGACCAUUUGAAAGAGAGGGACAUGGAGGACUUUCAUAACCUUUUCUCUGUUAUGCUUGGUCGAUGUGGUUUAAUAUUCAGGAAUGGAAUAAUGGGUUGAGAG
rnacentral:lncRNA from 1 species